rnacentral:rRNA from 1 species
GACGAACGCUGGCGGCGGGCUUAACACAUGCAAGUCGAACGGAAAGGCCCUGCGUUUGUGGGGUGCUCGAGUGGCGAACGGGGGAGUAACACGUGAGUAACCUGCCCUUGACUUUCGGAUAACUUCAGGAAACUGGGGCUAAUACCGUAUAGGAGCUCCUGCUGCGUGGUGGGGGUUGGAAAUUUGCGGCGGGUGGGGAUGGACUCGCGGCUUAUCAGCUUGUUGGUGGGGUAGUGGCUUACCAAGGCUUUGACGGGUAGGCGGCCUGGGGGGGUGACCGGCGACAUUGGGACUGAGAUACGGCCCAGACUCCUACGGGAGGCAGCAGUGGGGAAUAUUGCACAAUGGGCGGAGGCCUGAUGCAGCAACGCCGCGUGCGGGAUGACGGCCUUCGGGUUGUAAACCGCUUUCGCCUGUGACGAAGCGUGAGUGACGGUAAUGGGUAAAGAAGCACCGGCUAACUACGUG